GACGAACGCUGGCGGCGUGCUUAACACAUGCAAGUCGAACGGAAAGGCCCUGCUUUUGUGGGGUGCUCGAGUGGCGAACGGGUGAGUAACACGUGAGUAACCUGCCCUUGACUUUGGGAUAACUUCAGGAAACUGGGGCUAAUACCGGAUAGGAGCUCCUGCUGCAUGGUGGGGGUUGGAAAGUUUCGGCGGUUGGGGAUGGACUCGCGGCUUAUCAGCUUGUUGGUGGGGUAGUGGCUUACCAAGGCUUUGUCGGGUAGCCGGCCUGAGAGGGUGACCGGCCACAUUGGGACUGAGAUACGGCCCAGACUCCUACGGGAGGCAGAAGUGGGGAAUAUUGCACAAUGGGCGGAAGCCUGAUGCAGCAACGCCGCGUGCGGGAUGACGGCCUUCGGGUUGUAAACCGCUUUCGCCUGUGACGAAGCGUGAGUGACGGUAAUGGGUAAAGAAGCACCGGCUAACUACGUG
rnacentral:rRNA from 1 species